UACGUAGGGGGCGAACGUUGUCCGGAUUUAUUGGGCGUAAAGAGCUCGUAGGCGGCUCAGCAAGUCGGCCGUGAAAACCCGGGGCUCAACCCCGGGACGCCGGUCGAAACUGCUGUGGCUAGGGUUCGGCAGAGGAGAGUGGAAUUCCCGGUGUAGCGGUGAAAUGCGCAGAUAUCGGGAGGAACACCAGUAGCGAAGGCGGCUCUCUGGGCCGAUACCGACGCUGAGGAGCGAAAGCUAGGGGAGCAAACAGG
rnacentral:rRNA from 1 species